AUGGCCAACUGCAGCAGCGUUUCCAGACUUGUCCUCAUGGCCCUCCUCGGCCUCUGGGUAGCCACCCUCCACUCAGAGACUGCGGCAGACCCCACACCCACUUUACAAGGGGACAACCAGGACACGCUGUCCGGAGAGGGGGCGUAUGAAGUCACCACCAAAGACCCCUUCCAGGAUAUGACCGAGAGUGUGUUGACCUUCGAAUACGAGGACACCACACACUCACAGGCCGUGGACGAGGAGGAAAGUGAGACAUUUCCCAUCACCAGUAAAAUAAUAUUGAAAUGUUAUUAAUAUAAAGAAUUUGGGUUAUACCCAGAGGAUUUAGGAAAUAGUAUAUUCUGUAAACAUUUGCAUGUGAAGAGCCAUUGGCCAAAGCUCGCUGGAGGUUUUUUUUGUGUCUAAAUCCACACCACAACCCCUGAAUUGGUAAUAAACCACACCAUUGUAAAGUGUAUCGAGACUGUGAUUCAUUUUAAAUCAAAUUCGACCUUGACUUGACAAUCCUGCUUUAUACCCGUGUGUCAGGUUGGUGGCCUAACCUCUGACCUUUGCUCGUUGUGUGUUCUCUGUGUGCCCCUGUAUCCAGGUGUUCUGGGCCCGGGUGCCAUCACAGCCAUCGUCAUCGCAGUCGUCCUGGGGGCUUCAGUCCUCCUCGCCCUCAUCGUCAUUACACUCAGGAAGUUCACUGCUUCCUAGAGCCACUUCCUCCUCUUUCUUUCAAUCUCUCUUUCACUUCUUUGUCACUUCCAUUCAUCUAUCUUUAUUGUUUUUCCCCAUUCUCUAAAUUCUCUCCCAUUCACUCUGUUUCCCUUACACACAUAUAUUGUGAAAGUGAAACCCUCUACAACCCUGGAUGCUAUAAUGGUAUGUGGCAGGUCCCUUUUGGCCUUGAAGAGCAACUGACAAUGAAAUACCUUCAGCCUCUAGCUACUAUAAUCAUGCUGUUCUUGUUGGCCCCCAUGUCCACUAUUACGUUGUCAAUUGGAGGUUUAAGUGGGAGUUAGGAUUUGCCCCUAAGAGGACAUUAGAGACUGGCAGGUUCUUCCAGUGUAACGUCAUAGCUUUAAUAAAAUCCCUUUUACUUUACUUGUAAUGAUCUGUGUGCCGAAAUGUUUUGUCCAGCUUUGAUUUGUUCUUGCUGAUCUUUGUGGAAGUAAUUUUUUUUCUGACGGUUCUGUUGUGUGUUGCUGUAUCCUGUCUGUCUUUGUGUAUGAACGGGUGUGAUGAGUGUGUCUUUGUGAAGAUGAAUCCACCAUGUUCAUUACGUUGCUGAGUGCCUACUCCGUUUGGUUAAAAGUGAAGUGUUAUUGACAGUAGAAUAAAAAAAUGAAAUGAUUUACCAAAUGUACAACACAGAAUUCACUUGUAUGAUCAAAUGUUAUUUGGAAUGAUCUUAUCUCAUGAGAGAAUGUUUUCACAAUGCACACAAUGUGCUACCUUUCAUUGGCAAGUAGUCUUUUUUUAAUUUAAGAAACGUUUGCCAUUUUCCAUUGGAACAAACAUAUUGAUAGUGACCCAGAAUUAUAAUAUUUGAAUAUGAAAAUGCUGGCGUCGUCAAUAAAUAAACAUAAACAGGGUAUUUUUUAUUUUUUUUUAACCUGCAAAGCAAAUAACCUUGCCUAUUAAACGGCAGAAUGACUGUUGUGUUUGUGUUUUUGGGGGGGAUUGAUGGGAAGCGUUGUAUAAUAUUUAGAUUUUCUCUGUAUUACUCUUGCGUUUUACCAAUCAACUAACUAAUGCUUAUGUAAAACAAAUAUUCUUUAAGGUAAUAUCACCUGUUUUGAACUAUGGUUUAUAUUGUAUAAAUCACUUCCUACAACCAAAUAUUAGUCUUGUCAUUUAUUUCAAAUGUAUAUGGGUAAU
rnacentral:lncRNA from 1 species